rnacentral:rRNA from 1 species
GAUGAACGCUAGCUACAGGCUUAACACAUGCAAGUCGAGGGACAGGCGCACGGGUGAGUAACACGUAUCCAACCUGCCCUUUACUCGGGGAUAGCCUUUCGAAAGAAAGAUUAAUACCCGAUAUAAAGGAUGGGGAUGCGUUCCAUUAGGUUGUGGGUGAGGUAACGGCCCACCAAGCCUUCGAUGGAUAGGGGUUCUGAGAGGAAGGGCCCCCACAGUGUAACUGAAACACGGUCCAAACUCCUACGGGAGGCUGCAGUGAGGAAUAUUGGUCAAUGGGCGCUAGCCUGAACCAGCCAAGUAGCGUAAAGAAGGAUGGCUUAGGGGUCUUAAACUUCUUUUAUAUAAGAAUAUGUAUUUUAUGAAUAAGGAUCGGCUAACUCCGUGCCAGCCGCCGCGGUAAUUC